rnacentral:rRNA from 1 species
CCUACGGGAGGCAGCAGUGAGGAAUAUUGGACAAUGGGCGCAAGCCUGAUCCAGCCAUGCCGCGUGCAGGAAGACGCAUCUAUGGUGUGUAAACUGCUUUUGUACAGGAAGAAACACUCCCUCGUGAGGGAGCUUGACGGUACUGUAAGAAUAAGGAUCGGCUAACUCCGUGCCAGCAGCCGCGGUAAUACGGAGGAUCCAAGCGUUAUCCGGAAUCAUUGGGUUUAAAGGGUCCGUAGGCGGUUUAAUAAGUCAGUGGUGAAAUCUGGUCGCUCAACGAUCAAACGGCCAUUGAUACUGUUAGACUUGAAUUAUAAGGAAGUAACUAGAAUAUGUAGUGUAGCGGUGAAAUGCUUAGAUAUUACAUGGAAUACCAAUUGCGAAGGCAGGUUACUACUUAUGGAUUGACGCUGAUGGACGAAAGCGUGGGGAGCGAACAGGAUUAGAUACCCUGGUAGUCCACGCCGUAAACGAUGGAUACUAGCUGUUGGGCGCAAGUUCAGUGGCUAAGCGAAAGUGAUAAGUAUCCCACCUGGGGAGUACGUUCGCAAGAAUGAAACUCAAAGGAAUUGACGG